AGAGUUUGAUCAUGGCUCAGAACGAACGCUGGCGGCAGGCUUAAUACAUGCAAGUCGAACGGCUGUAGCAAUACAGCAGUGGCAGACGGGUGAGUAACACGUGGGAACCUACCUAGGGGUACGGAAUAACUCAGGGAAACUUGUGCUAAUACCGUAUACGACCUUCGGGUGAAAGAUUUAUCGCCCCUAGAUGGGCCCGCGCUGGAUUAGCUAGUUGGUGAGGUAAAGGCUCACCAAGGCGACGAUCCAUAGCUGGUCUGAGAGGAUGAUCAGCCACACUGGGACUGAGACACGGCCCAGACUCCUACGGGAGGCAGCAGUAGGGAAUCUUGGACAAUGGGCGAAAGCCUGAUCCAGCCAUGCCGCGUGAGUGAUGAAGGCCUUAGGGUUGUAAAGCUCUUUCGCCAGGGAAGAUAAUGACGGUACCUGGAUAAGAAGCCCCGGCUAACUUCGUGCCAGCAGCCGCGGUAAUACGAAGGGGGCUAGCGUUGUUCGGAAUUACUGGGCGUAAAGCGGCACGUAGGCGGCUUUCCAAGUUGGAGGUGAAAUCCCCGGGCUUAACCCGGGAACUGCCUCCAAAACUGAAAGGCUAGAGUCCGAGAGAGGUGAGUGGAAUUUCCAGUGUAGAGGUGAAAUUCGUAGAUAUUGGAAAGAACACCAGUGGCGAAGGCGGCUCACUGGCUCGGUACUGACGCUGAGGUGGCGACAGCGUGGGGAGCAAACAGGAUUAGAUACCCUGGUAGUCCACGCCGUAAACGAUGGGUGCUAGUUGUCGGGCAGCUUGCUGUUCGGUGACGCAGCUAACGCAUUAAGCACCCCGCCUGGGGAGUACGGUCGCAAGAUUAAACUCAAAGGAAUUGACGGGGCCGCACAGCGGUGGAGCAUGUGGUUUAAUUCGACGCAACGCGAAGAACCUUAC
rnacentral:rRNA from 1 species